UGCCAGCCGCCGCGGUAAUACGGAGGGGGCAAGCGUUGUUCGGAAUUACUGGGCGUAAAGCGCACGUAGGCGGAUUGGUCAGUUGGGGGUGAAAUCCCGAGGCUUAACCUCGGAACUGCCCUCAAUACUGCCAAUCUAGAGAUCGGAAGAGGUAAGUGGAAUUCCCAGUGUAGAGGUGAAAUUCGUAGAUAUUGGGAAGAACACCAGUGGCGAAGGCGGCUAACUGGCUCGGUACUGACGCUGAGAUGCGAAAGCGUGGGGAGCAAACAGGAUUAGAUA
rnacentral:rRNA from 1 species